rnacentral:rRNA from 1 species
CCUACGUGAGGCAGCAGUGGGGAAUAUUGCGCAAUGGGCGAAAGCCUGACGCAGCGACGCCGCGUGAGGGAUGAAGGUCUUCGGAUCGUAAACCCCUGUCAGCAGGGAAGAACGGUCACUGUGCUAAUCAGCAGUGAAUUGACGGUACCCGCAGAAUAAGCAUCGGCUAACUCCGUGCCAGCAGCCGCGGUAAUACGGGGGAUGCGAGCGUUAUCCGGAUUUAUUGGGUUUAAAGGGUGCGUAGGCGGAUUUCUAAGUCCGGGGUAAAUUGUCCGGGCUCAACCCGGACCGGCCGUUGAAACUGGGGAUCUUGAGUGGGCGAGAGGUAUGCGGAAUGCGUGGUGUAGCGGUGAAAUGCAUAGAUAUCACGCAGAACUCCGAUUGCGAAGGCAGCAUACCGGAGCCCGACUGACGCUGAGGCACGAAAGCGUGGGGAUCGAACAGGAUUAGAUACCCCUGUAGUC